rnacentral:RNase_P_RNA from 1 species
GAGCGUGCGCGGGGGGUCGCCGGCGGUGGCCGUAUUGCACCGUCGGAGGAAAGUCCGAGCUGCGCAGGGCAGGGUGCCGGGUAACGCCCGGGCGCCGUGAGGCGACGGAAAGUGCAACAGAGAAGAGACCGCCGAUGGCCGGAGGCGUAGCCUGCGGCACAGGCAAGGGUGAAACGGUGCGGUAAGAGCGCACCGGGCUGCCGGCAACGGUGAGCCGCUGGCAAACCCCACCUGCAGCAAGGCCAAGCAGGAGCGAGGGACGGCCCGUCCCGUUCGAGCUCCGGGUGGGCCGCACGAGGCCGUCGGCGACGGCGGUCCCAGAUGAAUGACUCUCGCCUCGCCCGCAGGCGAGGUACAGAACUCGGCUUACAGCGCGCGCUCGCCG